rnacentral:rRNA from 1 species
UCCUUAGAUGUUCUGGGCUGCACGCGCGCUACACUGACGUACGCAACGAGUGUCCUUUACCGAGAGGUAUGGGUAAUCAUUUGAGUGUACGUCGUGAUGGGGAUAGAAUAUUGUAAUUAUUACUCUUCAACGAGGAAUUCCUAGUAAGCGCAAGUCAGCAGCUUGCGCUGAUUACGUCCCUGCCCUUUGUACACACCGCCCGUCGCUCCUACCGAUGGGUGAUCCGGUGAAUGAUUCGGACUCGGUUGCCUCUAGCCACUAGUGGCGCUCGAGAAAGUUUUGUGAACCUUAUCACUUGGAGGAAGGAGAAGUCGUAACA